UGCUCUCCCAUGGUGCCCAGCACCACAGCAAGCCACAGCUCACAGGCAGCCAAGCAAUGACCCGGGUAAACAACUGGCAUUCUACAGUGUACAGCGUUGCCAAGCAGCAUGUUGCCCCAAGGAUAAAUGAGUCAACCUCAAACUUACCACCAGAAGCCCCUGCUUGUAGAGUUUCUGAUGAAACUGAAGCAUUCAUUAGUCCUGCAAGAGUGUGCUUCACAUGAGGAGCUACAGCUGGGCUGGGCUUUGCAACCCUCGCUGAUAAUAGCACUGAGAUUCUGAUGGCUUUGACCUUCAGGAGAUGCAGCAACAGUCCUGGAAGGAAGCAGGCACCAGGCAUCCACUUUCACAAAAGACCUUGCGCUUGCGAGGCAGGCAGCGGAACCACUGAGCUAAAUCCCCAGCCCAAGCUGAUAUGUCUUUUAACCCAGACUCACAAUAUGUAAUUCUUCACAGGAGGAAUAAGAAGGUCAGCCUGCGAGUCCCAACUUUUUGAGGUUCUCUCUGGGACAGACCCAAGUCCAGAGCAGGAAGUGGUGGCUGCAAAGCAAGAGACAGCACUUCUCUCCCAUGGUGAGAACAGUGCUCUGGAUCAAAUGAAGAGUCACUGAGCAGCACUCUCCUGUGCCUGGCACACAGAAGGACUCACUGAGGAUUCCAUUUGAUGCUGAAUUCUCAUCCAUUCCUGAAUUUUUCAUUCUUUAGAGCAAGGGUGGGCAAACUUCCGGUCAAGGGCUGGAUCAAAUGGUCUUUAUUGCAGGGACUUAAUUCUACCGCUGUGUCACAAAUCACAAAUCUAAAUAAGUGGGCCUGGUUGUAUUCCAAUAAAACUUUAUAUACAAAACAGGCAGUGCAUCAGUUAUAGCCUGUGGGUAGUAGUUGCUAGCCCCUACCUAAUGAUUCUCAAACUCUGACUGGGACCAUUGAAUUCUUGUCCAAUAGAUUAUUCUUCUCUUCCUGAUUGGUGUUGGGCUCAAUCACGUGACUGGCUUUGGCCAAUGGGAUUGCAGGAGUGCAGUUCUCUGCACCUUGUCAUUCAGCCAAUGGGAUGGCAGCAGACAUGAGACAAGAGGAGGCUUUCAGUCUGCCUAAGGGGCAAGGCUUGCCCUUUUGUGCCUUGAACAUUCUGAUGAGAAGAGCUUCUGCCAGGCAGCUGCGACCCUUUAGCCUGGCCUCACAUGGAGCACCUCGGGAGCACAGCUCACAUGCCAGGACCAGGAGCUUGAAGCAGAGCUGCCCAGCCAUGCCUAGCCUAGAAGGUCACCUGUCAGCUGAUCCACAGAUAAAUAAAUGAGCCCAGAUGAAAUCAGCAAAAUGUGCCCAGCUACUCCCAGACUCAUUAGAAAUAAAUGCUUCAUGUCUGAUGCCACUGUGAUUUUUGUAAUGUUUGUUAUGCAGCACUCUUGUGGGAAGAGCUGACUGAUACAAAGGCUUCAAUAAGAAACAUAUCAUACUCUGUGAUUCAGAUUUACAAAAUUAAUUAUAACAAAAUAUUUAGAAAAUACUUAAACACCUGCCAGAUACUAUUUUAAGUGCUCCAUAUAUACUUAGUCAUUUAAUCCUUAUGACAAGCCUAUACAGUACAUAUUAUUAAGGUGGAGAAACUGAGGCACAGAGAAGUUAAACAAUUUUCCCUAGGCUACAUAGUAAAUGAUUACACUACAGUGGUUCAAACAGGUCUGGGUUCAUAGUCCAUUGUUAACUACACCUUAAUAUGAUCUGUUCUAGUGAUGUUAAACCUUUCAGAGCUUUCAAUGAUACAAACAGCCCACUGCAGCAUGCAUGCCAUAGGUUCGCCACCACUGAUCUAAUGCACUCUGCUACUUUUAUAAACAUCUAGUGGUCAUACAACACUGUAUGCCUGGAUAUAUACCAUUUUUAUUUGUCAACUGUGCCUCAAUAAAGCUGAAC
ensembl:lncRNA